GCUGUGUCCUAUCUUGCCACUU
rnacentral:miRNA from 1 species